rnacentral:siRNA from 1 species
CAACUCAUACUUAGUAUAUUU